rnacentral:rRNA from 1 species
AUGAACGCUGGCGGCGUGCCUAACACCUGCAAGUCGAACGGAGUCCAGCCUUUAAGACCUUCGGGUCAAAGAGGGGAAGACUGAGUGGCGGACGGGUGAGUAACACGUGGGCAACCUGGCUCAUAGAGGGGGAUAACAGAGAGAAAUUUCUGCUAAUACCGCAUAAGCACACACUGCCGCAUGGCAGAGGGUGAAAAGAGAAUCGCUAUGAGAUGGACCCGCGUCUGAUUAGCCAGUUGGCAGGGUAAGAGCCUACCAAAGCGACGAUCAGUAGCCGAUCUGAGAGGAUGAACGGCCACAUUGGGACUGAGACACGGCCCAAACUCCUACGGGAGGCAGCAGUGGGGGAUAUUGCACAAUGGGGGGAACCCUGAUGCAGCGACGCCGCGUGAGUGAAGAAGUAUUUCGGUAUGUAAAGCUCUAUCAGCAGGGAAGAUAAUGACAGUACCUGAAGAAGAAGCCCCGGCUAACUACGUG